rnacentral:rRNA from 1 species
UACAGAGGGUGCGAGCGUUGUCCGGAAUUACUGGGCGUAAAGGGCGCGUAGGCGGCUUGGUAAGUCGGGGGUGAAAGUCAGCGGCUCAACCGCUGGACUGCCUUCGAGACUGCCUGGCUUGAGCAUGGUAGAGGCUGGCAGAAUUCCCGGUGUAGCGGUGGAAUGCGUAGAGAUCGGGAAGAACAUCGGUGGCGAAGGCGGCCAGCUGGGCCAUUGCUGACGCUGAUGCGCGACAGCGUGGGGAGCAAACAGG